rnacentral:lncRNA from 13 species
GAACUCCUGGUGUUUUUACAGGGUUCUCAGAAUGUUUGGGAGGCCAAAUUCGGACCACCAAUUGGGGAACCCUGCUCCUGACAGUUAAAUAUCUGCUCUGUCAGAGAGCUGACGGGUUGACAGUUAAAUAUCUGCUCUGUCAGAGCUGACCUGUUGACAGUUAAAUAUCUGCUCUGUCAGAGAGCUGACGUGUUGACAGUUAAAUAUCUGCUCUGUCAGAGAGCUGACGGGUUGACAGUUAAAUAUCUGCUCUGUCAGAGAGCUGACGGGUUGACAGUUAAAUAUCUGCUCUGUCAGA